UACAGAGGUCCCGAGCGUUUGUUCGGAUUCACUGGGCGUAAAGGGUGCGUAGGUGGCAUGUUAAGUUUGAUGUGAAAGCUCAGGGCUCAACCCUGAAAUGGCAUUGAAUACUAGCGUGCUGGAGGUUUGGAGGGGGGACUGGAAUUCUCGGUGUAGCAGUGAAAUGUGUAGAGAUCGGGAGGAACACCGGUGGCGAAGGCGGGUCUCUGGGCCGAUACUGACGCUGAGGAGCGAAAGCGUGGGGAGCGAACAGG
rnacentral:rRNA from 1 species